CAGGGGCGCAUUUCCAUAAACGGAAUGCUGAGAUGAGCGUAUGCCGGUCCCUCAUGACCUGAUCUGGGUAGUGCCAGCGUAGGGAGUCUGUUU
rnacentral:ncRNA from 1 species